rnacentral:rRNA from 1 species
GGACGAACGCUGGCGGCGUGCUUAACACAUGCAAGUCGAGCGGUAAGGCCCUUCGGGGUACACGAGCGGCGAACGGGUGAGUAACACGUGGGUAACCUGCCCUGUACUCUGGGAUAAGCCUGGGAAACUAGGUCUAAUACCGGAUAUGACCUGCCUCCGCAUGGUGGUGGGUGGAAAGUUCCGGCGGUACGGGAUGGACCCGCGGCCUAUCAGCUUGUUGGUGGGGUAAUGGCCUACCAAGGCGACGACGGGUAGCCGGCCUGAGAGGGUGACCGGCCACACUGGGACUGAGACACGGCCCAGACUCCUACGGGAGGCAGCAGUGGGGAAUAUUGCACAAUGGGCGAAAGCCUGAUGCAGCGACGCCGCGUGAGGGAUGACGGCCUUCGGGUUGUAAACCUCUUUCAGCGGGGACGAA